AUGAUUGAUAGGGACAGUUGGGGGCAUCAGUAUUCUGAAGCGAGAGGUGAAAUUCUUGGACCUUCGGAAGACUAACAACUGCGAAAGCAUUUGCCUAGGAUGUUCUCUUUAAUCAAGAACGAAGGUUGGGGGAUCGAAGACGAUCAGAUACCGUCGUAGUCUCAACUAUAAACUAUGCCAGCUAGGGAUGGGUUGAUGUUUAAAUACGACUCAAUCCGCACCUUAUGAGAAAUCAAAGCAUUUGGGUUCCGGGGGGAGUAUGGUCGCAAGGCUGAAACUUAAAGGAAUUGACGGGAGGGCACCACCAGGAGUGGAGCCUGUGGCUUAAUUUGACUCAACACGGGAAAACUUACCAGGUCCGGACAUAGCUAGGAUUGACAGAUUGAUAGCUCUUUCU
rnacentral:rRNA from 1 species